rnacentral:rRNA from 1 species
GAUGAACGCUGGCGGCGUGCCUAAUACAUGCCAGUCGAGCGAACAGACGAGGAGCUUGCUCCUCUGACGUUAGCGGCGGACGGGUGAGUAACACGUGGAUAACCUACCUAUAAGACUGGGAUAACUUCGGGAAACCGGAGCUAAUACCGGAUAAUAUAUUGAACCGCAUGGUUCAAUAGUGAAAGACGGUUUUGCUGUCACUUAUAGAUGGAUCCGCGCCGCAUUAGAUAGUUGGUAAGGUAACGGCUUACCAAGGCAACGAGGCGUAGACGACCUGAGAGGGUGGUAGGCCACACUGGAACUGAGACACGGUCCAGACUCCUAAGGGAGGCAGCAGAAGGGAAUCUUCCGCAAUGGGCGAAAGCAUGACGGAGCAACGCCGCGUGAGUGAUGAAGGUCUUCGGAUCGUAAAAAUCUGUUAUUAGGGAAGAACAAAUGUGUAAGUAACUAUGCACGGCUUGACGGUACCUAAUCAGAAAGCCACGGCUAACUACGUG